GCUGAGCACCAUUAAGAAAUUUCCACAAGAUAAGAUGGAUUCCCUGAGGAAAGUUAUAAUACAGGACCCAUAUUACUUCCUACUGCUUCCCAGCACUAAACAAGCUGUCCUGGUGGACAAGAUGGUUCAAAGACUGGUAAAGAAUAUAAUUUUACUGUCUACAGGUCAUGCACAUAUUUUCGGUGUGGAUCUUUCCAGUUACUGAUUUUGACAGGGUUAACAAACCCUGAUUCUAUGUCCAUUUUCUAAAAACCUUUUAAAAGGACUUUAAUUUCAAAGUCUCCAACCCUUAUAUCUUUGAUUUACUCAUCAGAAUAUGCACACUGGCCUGUACACUGAAGAGGAGUUUCGUUCACUAGGUGUCAUGGCUACAUUUGUGACAGAUAAAAUGUUUCAGAAAUUGGAUAGGAGCUUUUUUGUUGAUGGUCUGGAGUUCCUACAAAGAUUCUGCUACAAUGCCAGUAAACGGGACCUGGUGGCAGACAUGCUACAAGAACAGGGGACAUUUGGCCCUGUAAAAAACUGGACUUCAGAGACACUGAACCAAGUGGACCGCUUCUUGUUUUUUCUCCCGAAGGACACUAUUCAGCUCAUCCCCUUAGUGAGUGACCAGAAAUUUCUUUGUGUCAUCUGAACUCACGCCUGUGUUUUGACCUGUCUGCGUGUGUGCAUGUGUCUUCAGGGUUUGAUGAGCUUAGAGCGCAUUGAGAGGCUGUUCCUGAGUCAGCAGAAGUGGGAGAGGGAAGAGUUUGGCUCUCUGUGUCAGAAACCCUCAGAGCUGUUUGAGAAGAAACAGUUUGUGCUUCAGUUCUUCCUCGGCUUCCUCAGAAUAGGACGUGCCCCUUACACUGGACUGAUCCCCUCUUGUGAGAGCCUGCAUGUGACACAGCCUGCUGCCUGGACUAUUGACAGCCUUAGAAACAUGCCACAAGCUGCAUUUCGGAGGUGCUUGGAGCUCAUUGGCCAGGAUCCAUUUUUCAGUUCAUCUGAGCUGUUAAUGCUUCUUACAAAGACCAAAGAGGUGCCUGAAUUUGUCCAUCAGCUCAUAUGCUCCUAA
ensembl:lncRNA